rnacentral:lncRNA from 1 species
ACCCUGAUUCUCUCCAACUCGUUCGACAUCAUUUCUACACCAAACCAUGGUAAAUUAGUUCAAAUACACACACACACACACACACACACACACACACACACACUAAAGAAAAUCCAACACUCACCUCGAGCAUCAACCUAGCUAAGCUUGACAUUAAAGAGUAUCUACUCCGAUAGUAGUUCCUUCAAUGGCGGGACCUUGUACCCAACCAAGAUAUUAUAAUUUCAAAACUCCUCAUCCCCCAAAGUUAGAGCUGAAAGAAUCGAUUUUCUAGGUUGGCCCCAUGGGGAAUAAACCUCUCCUUCCAAUUAUGAACCGAGGAAGGAAUACCUCAGACCAAAGGAGAAACUCCUCUCUGAGGAUACCACUAAUCACCUGCAUAUGGGUGUCCUUUGAAAGUGAAACACACCCUAAAAAGGGUGAUGGUAAGCUAAACUUUAGUCAAGAAACAAAAGAUUGUAAAGCUGUGGAUAAAUCACCACAAGUUUAGUACAAUCGAACUUAGUUAUAUGUUAAGAAAAUAAAAAAAGAUGCAUGAA